CCUGUUUGGUCUCAUUUUUGAGAACAAAAAAAAUUAUUCAGGAGAAAGACUCGAUUAAAUUUUAUAAUAUAGGGAUAUUAGGUUGACUAUUACUUAUAUUACUUAACCAAAGACAAGCCAAAUGAAACAAUAUAACUCUGUGAUUUCCAGGCACAGAGCUUUAGAAUAAGAUCCACACAAAAUUGCUUCUGGUUAUGAUUUGAGGGGUGGUGUAAGCAAGCUUAAUUGAGUUUGCAGGAAUUUUUAAGUUGUUGUUUAUGGAAGGCUGAUCUUGCUGGAGAGAUCCCCCUGGGCUCUACACUCUUCAGUUUCUUACUUCUCCUUUUCCUCCACCCGCCUGUCCCACCUUUUCCAGGAAGCAUCCUUCCCUGCAUAGAAAUGGCCCUCUUCUCUCAUCCUCUCCAGGACUCACCCCUGUCGCAGUCUAGCUGGGCACAAAUCAUGAGCCACUCAAGCAGGAACAAACUUUAUUUCCGAACUCCACCAGCACACUCCACACACGCUCCCGGGAACUCUCCCGAAUGCCACCCACGUGGCUCCUCCAGGAACACCACACACCAACCGGAACUCCCUCCACUGGAACUUCACCAACCAACACGAACUCUUCAGGAAUCCCUGCAAGAACUCAACGGGAACUCCGCGAGAACUCCGCGAGAACUCAAAAGUCAUCAUCUUAAUGGCUCGCUGGCGUCACCUCUCAACCACUACUUCUGGCAAAAAUGCCAUGGGUCAUCCCGACUCGGCUGUGGCCCUCAACACACCCCAGUGAGAGGAAGAACGGCAUUUCUGACUGUGAGAUGAUGAAAAUCUCUUGUCUAUCAGUUCACAUAGUUCAGCUGGGUAAGCAGGGUAAAGUCGAUGCUCACAAGUGGCCAGUUUUUCUUCAGUUCUCAGUGGAAUCCGAAUCAUACCACAUCUCCAUGACAUGAGUUAGGCUAGGGAACAACAGCAGGGGAUCCAGUGGGGAUGCAUUUCCAGAUCCCAGUGGAUGCCUGAAACUGCAGAUAGUGUCAAAUCCUAUACAGUAUAUGCGAUAUCUUUCCUAUACAUUCAUACUUAUAAUAAAGUUUAUAAAUUAGACACAGAGAUUAAUAGC
rnacentral:lncRNA from 1 species